AUACGGAGGGUGCAAGCGUUAUCCGGAUUUAUAGGGUUUAAAGGGUGCGCAGGCGGACCUGUCAGUCAGUGGUGAAAUCCCGGGGCUCAACCCCGGAACUGCCAUUGAUACUACAGGUCUUGAAUACGGUUGAAGUAGGCGGAAUGUAGCAUGUAGCGGUGAAAUGCAUAGAUAUGCUACAGAACACCGAUCGCGAAGGCAGCUUACUAAGCCGAUAUUGACGCUCAGGCACGAAAGCGUGGGUAGCGAACAGGAUUAGAAACCCUAGUAGUCC
rnacentral:rRNA from 1 species